CCUACGGGAGGCAGCAGUAGGGAAUUUUCGGCAAUGGGGGGAACCCUGACCGAGCAACGCCGCGUGAACGAAGAAGUUAUUCGUAAUGUAAAGUUCUUUUAACAGGGAAGAACGAGAAAUUUAACAGUACCUGAAGACUAAGCUCCGGCUAACUACGUACCAGCAGCCGCGGUACUACGUAGGGAGCGAGCGUUUUACGGAAUUAUUGGGCGUAAAGGGAGCGUAGAUGGCAUAGUAAGUCUUUGGUAAAAAUGCUGGGCUCAACCCAGUAGGGCAAAAGAUACUGCAAAUCUAGAGUAUGACAGAGGCAAGUGGAACUACAUGUGGAGCGGUAAAAUGCGUAAAUAUAUGUAAGAAAACCAGUGGCGAAGGCGGCUUGCUGGGUGGAUACUGACAUUGAGGCACGAAAGCGUGGGGAGCAAACAGGAUUAGAUACCCGGGUAGUC
rnacentral:rRNA from 1 species